rnacentral:rRNA from 1 species
UCCUGCUCAAUGAUUUUAAAUAGCCGCAGUACCCUGACUGUGCAAAGGUAGCAUAAUCAGUUGGCUUUUAAUUGGAGUCUAGAAUGAAUGGAUUUUUGGAAAAUAACUUUCUUUUUUUAUUUUUUGGAAAUUAGUUUGUAAGUGAAAAUACUUACAUAUACAUAAAGGACGAGAAGACCCUAGAAAUUUAAAUAUAAUUUUGUUGGGGCGACAGAAUUACAAAAAACUAAUUUGUUUAACGUGACGUUUUUACAGGUCGAUUAAAUUACUCUAGGGAUAACAGCAUAAUUUUAACAGUUUGUGACCUCGAUGUUGGACUAGGAUAUUAAAUGGUCUAGAAGAUCUUUAAUAAGGCUCUGUUCGAGCAUUUUUUCCUACGUGAUCUGAUUUCAGACCGGA